AUAGUUGUUUUUUAUUUUUUAUAUUUGUUAGGCAGAUUAUUUAUAAUAAUUUUUAAUUGCAAAUUAAAUGUUGAUUUUUUAACUACUUGCCCAAUUAGUAAUUUAAAUUUAAUUUGAUUAUUAAUCAAUAGAAUUAUUAACAAUAAUUUACCUUUUUUGGUUUCAAUUAAUUAUGAUUAA
rnacentral:tRNA from 1 species